GUGCUCGCUUCAGCAGGACAUAUACUAAAAUUGGAACAAUACAGGGAAGAUUAGCAUGGCCCCUGCACAAGGAUGAUGUGCAAAUUCAUGAAGUGUACCAUAUUUUG
rnacentral:snRNA from 1 species